rnacentral:rRNA from 1 species
UGCAGUCGAAGGAGAAAGUGGAGCAAUCCAUGAGUAAAGUGGCGCACGGGUGAGUAACACGUGACUAACCUACCUUCGAGUGGGGAAUAACUCCGGGAAACCGGGGCUAAGACCGCAUAAUAUCGAGAGAUCAAAUGCGAAAGCAGCUUGAAGAGGGGGUCGCGGUUGAUUAGCUAGUUGGUGGGGUAAUGGCCCACCAAGGCGAUGAUCAAUAGCCGGCCUGAGAGGGCGCACGGCCACACUGGAACUGAAACACGGUCCAGACUCCUACGGGAGGCAGCAGUGGGGAAUUUUGCGCAAUGGGGGAAACCCUGACGCAGCAAUGCCGCGUGGAGGAUGAAGUCCUUUGGGAUGUAAACUCCUUUCGAUCGGGAAGAUAAUGACGGUACCGGAAGAAGAAGCCCCGGCUAACUCUGUGCCAGCAGCCGCGGUAAUACAGAGGGGGCAAGCGUUGUUCGGAAUUAUUGGGCGUAAAGGGCGCGUAGGCGGUGCGGUAAGUCACUUGUGAAAUCUCUGGGCUCAACUCAGAGUCUGCAAGCGAAACUGCCGUGCUUGAGUAUGGGAGAGGUAUGUGGAAUUCCCGGUGUAGC